rnacentral:rRNA from 1 species
GAUGAACGCUAGCUACAGGCUUAACACAUGCAAGUCGAGGGACCGGCGCACGGGUGAGUAACGCGUAUCCAACCUUCCCAUUACUGUGGGAUAACCUGCCCAAAGGCAGACUAAUACCGCAAGGUAAUGGAUUGGGAUGCGUCUGAUUAGUUUGUUGGCGGUGUAACGGCCCACCAAGGCUACGAUCAGUAGGGGUUCUGAGAGGAAGGUCACCCACAGUUGAACUGAGACACGAUCCAAAAUCCUACCGGAGGCAGCAGUGAGGAAUGUUGGUCAUUGGGCGAGAGCCUGAGCCAGCAAAGUAGCGUGGAGGAUGACGGCCUAUGGGUUGUAAACUGCUUUUGUAUGGGGAUGGGUACCAUACGAAUAAGGACCGGCUAAUUCCGUGCCAGCAGCCGCGGUAAUUC